AUGUUGCAAUUCAAGCACAGCACUAAGGUUCACCGACUUGAAACCAGAGGGACAAAUAUACCAAAGUUUUCCUUCAAUUUUUUUCCAUUUGAUAAUCUACCAGAAAAAGAUACUUUUGCAAAACCACUUCAAGAUAUAAUAGGAGUCAUUAGCCACAUUGGGCCAUUUGAUUAUGCAAGUCAGACAUCUACAAAUAAACUCAGGAAAAUCAAAAUUCAAAACCUAGAUGAACAGACACAAGAAAUACGUCUUUGGGGCCACCAUGGUGAAACAUUUGAUGAAGAAGCUGUACUUAAAAAAUCACAAGAAGGCAUUGUAGUUGGCAUUUUUGCAGGUCUCACAGCUGGGAGCUUUCUAGGUGCCCUGCAUGCAUCCUCAACCUCUGCAACAAAAGUUUACAUUGACUUGGAUACAUCUCAAGUUAAAAACUACCAAACCAGCUAUAAAUGGGAAUCUCCAGCUCUGCGACACCAACUACCUCAGGUUAUGCAUUUAUCUCCUAUUCAAGCAGCAGGGAAAAUGUACACACUUCAACAAAUAUCAGAUAUGCCCACCUCAAAUUUUCAGGAAGGAGCUACCUACAGCACCAUUGCGAAAGUUAAAUCUAUUGUACCUUCAACUAAAUGGUACUACAAAGGAUGCAAACAUUGUGACAGAGGAUACAACAACAACUCAGAUACUCCAACAUGCCUUUGCACAAAUUCAUCUCCAAAGCCAUUGUACAAGCUACCAAUAACACUUACAGAUGACUCAGGAGAUUUAGAUGCCAUUGCUUUCUCUAAAAUUGCUGAAGAACUGGUUGAGCGAGAUGCCAUACAAGCUUCUCAAAACAUGAAAGUUGAUACCGCGGAACAUGUGACCGCCCUAGAUAAUGCCAUUGGGAAAACCAGAUUGUUCUAUAUAGGAAUGAAGGUUGAUUUGGUAUACAGAUUCCCCAUAAGUUAUGUCAUAAAGAAAAGCUUCUCAGUUGACAAUGCACAAAUACUGCCCUCUACAAAGUCAACUCCAAGCAAAGACCUGGAGAACAGUCCAUCAUCAUCAAAGAGCAUCCAGAGUCCAGGGAGCCUAACACAAGUCCACUUGGGCAAUACUAUGCCUCCCCCUUGCCAAUCUGCAACUAUGGACACCGACAAAAUCAUAAAUAGGUACUCUUCAGCGAAAAGAAGCAUCCAAUUUACAGAAGAUGGAGCCACCAACAAAGAGGGUCAACAACAUGAACAUCUUCAGGAUACACAAGUGCAUCUCCAGGUUGUCAAAAAGCAUAAGCAAGACAUUGCAGAUAACAAUGAGAAAAUGAACAACUAUGAAGGACAAGAGGAUAGCAGUAAUAAAAACACAUAG
rnacentral:rRNA from 1 species